rnacentral:rRNA from 1 species
AAAGAAACCAACAGGGAUUGCCCCAGUAACGGCGAGUGAAGCGGCAACAGCUCAAAUUUGAAAUCUGGCCCUUGGGUCCGAGUUGUAAUUUGUAGAGGAUGCUUUUGGCGAGGUGCCUUCCGAGUUCCCUGGAACGGGACGCCAUAGAGGGUGAGAGCCCCGUCUGGUCGGACACCGAGCCUCUGUAAAGCUCCUUCGACGAGUCGAGUAGUUUGGGAAUGCUGCUCAAAAUGGGAGGUAUAUGUCUUCUAAAGCUAAAUAUUGGCCAGAGACCGAUAGCGCACAAGUAGAGUGAUCGAAAGAUGAAAAGCACUUUGAAAAGAGGGUUAAAAAGUACGUGAAAUUGUUGAAAGGGAAGCGCCUAUGACCAGACUUGGGCCCGGUGAAUCAUCCAGCGUUCUCGCUGGUGCACUUUGCCGGGCACAGGCCAGCAUCAGUUUGGCGCGGGGGAAAAAGGCUUUGGGAAUGUGGCUCCCUCGGGAGUGUUAUAGCCCAUUGUGUAAUACCCUGCGCCGGACUGAGGUACGCGCAUUGCAAGGAUGCUGGCGUAAUGGUCAUCAGCGACCCGUCUUGAAACACGGACCAAGGAGUCGUCUUCGUAUGCGAGUGUUCGGGUGUCAAACCCCUACGCGUAAUGAAAGUGAACGCAGGUGAGAGCUUCGGCGCAUCAUCGACCGAUCCUGAUGUUCUCGGAUGGAUUUGAGUAAGAGCAUACGGGGCCGGACCCGAAAGAAGGUGAACUAUGCCUGUAUAGGGUGAAGCCAGAGGAAACUCUGGUGGAGGCUCGCAGCGGUUCUGACGUGCGAAUCGAUCGUCAAAUAUGGGCAUGGGGGCGAAAGACUAAUCGAACCUUCUAGUAGCUGGUUUCCGCCGAAGUUUCCCUCAGGAUAGCAGUGUUGAACUCAGUUUUAUGAGGUAAAGCGAAUGAUUAGGGACUCGGGGGCGCUAUAUUGCCUUCAUCCAUUCUCAAACUUUAAAUAUGUAAGAAGCCCUUGUUACUUAAUUGAACGUGGGCAUUCGAAUGUAUCAAC